UUAAAUAUUAGAAUCUACAUAUAAAUUCGUCUUAAUGAAAUUUAAAAAAAUUGUUGUAUUGUAAAAGCGUCAUUAGAUUAGAUCUUUCUUAAUUUACGAACACUCAAUAAGUACUGUUGCGACAACGCCAUCUACAAGCGAAUAAUUUGGCGGGAGUAUCGGAGAAAUUGCGAUAGUGGUAAAAUAAAAUUCAUCACGAGCAAGUGGACGAAUCGAAGUGGAAUUAGGUUAUACAAUAUUAAAUUUUCGUGAAGCCCAAAUACGAAUUUUCGAGAAUUUCGUCUCUGAAUGCAGAUUUAUGCUAGUACAUUACGUACACAAAGAUAGUUUGGUAUGCGGUGGUGCACGACAAUCCUACAUCGAAGUGUAUUUGCCGAUUGUCGUCGGGGGUUGGAGAGGUAUGUUUGUAACAAGGUUGCCAGCAGCGUUACUGCGAGUUUCGAUCGUGAGACUAACCUUUAUGCCGACGUGCGAUAAUUAAUAUUCAGAUUAAAUAAGCAAAAUGAUCGAUAAAUUUAUGUUUCGCGACGAAAAAGUUUCUAUUGCAGCUAAUAUUUUUUGAAAGAGCAAAAAAGAUGUAAUCGAAGGAAAAAGAUUAUUUCUUUGAAAUUUAUCGUGAAAUAUAAAUAAGAUAGAAAGAAGAUAUACCAAGUAAAAAUAAUCAAUAGGAAAAAUAAAGUAGAAGCGAGAUUUUGUGAGACGAAACGUUCUACGUUUACUAUUACCGAACUGGUUAAACAGGUUAUCAGUUUAUAGCCACCGUAAAGAGAUUUUAAAUUUCGCGGCACAUGCUUGUACAUUCCGCGUGUCUUUUUCUUCUUAUUUCGAUUGUUUCGUGGAGUUCAUAGCACCGUGUACAGGAUGCAUUCGAGGUUCAUAAAUCCAAGGUACGUAAUUUCUAUAUUUAAAAUAUACAUAAUUAAUAUCGUAUCUUUAAAUAAUACUUACCUUUUUUUUUAUCACUUAUAAACAUUAUGGUUGAAAUAAUGGAGCUUUUUACGCAUCGAAUCGAAACAGGCAUC
rnacentral:lncRNA from 1 species